rnacentral:sRNA from 1 species
GCAAGUGAAAUACCACUAC